AUAACAACAAAAAUAUAAUAUUUAUAUCAUAUGGAAUAAUCAUGCAUCACACAAAUUAUUUAUCCUAUAAUAAAAAUUUUAGCUUUCUCCGAUCCUUUCGUACUAAGAGAAGCAGUUAUAAUUCUUAAAAGAUAGAAACCAACCUGGCUCACGCCGGUCUGAACUCAGAUCAUGUAAAGUUUUAAAAAUCGAACAGAUUUACCUCAUAAAGCUUCUGCACCUUAAGGUCACUUUAAUCCAACAUCGAGGUCGCAAUCUUACUUUUCAAUAAGAACUCUCUAAGUAAAUUACGCUGUUAUCCCUAUGGUAACUAUAUUAUAAGCAAUACAUAAUACAAUUCUAUUAAUUAAUCGGUUACUUAAUUCAACAAUAUAAUAUCUAAGGAAGUUAUAAAAUAGCUAUAUUAUUCCUUAAUCACCCCAAUUAAAAUUUAUAUAGCACAUUAUACAUAAAUAUAUGUGAUAAUAAAAUUAUAAGCUCAGUAGGGUCUUCUCGUCCCCUUAAGAAAUUCAAGCUUUUUCACUAUGAAAAUUAAUUUCUAAAAAAUAAAGCAGAGACAGAUUAACCUUCGUCAAACCAUUCAUUCUAGCCUCAAAUUAUAAGGCAAAUUAUUAUGCUACCUUAGUACAGUUAAAAUACCGCAGCUGUUAAAACGUUUCACCGAGCAGGCCCAACUCUUUAUUUAUAUUAUACAAAGAGAGAUGUUUUUGAUAAACAGGCGAGAUUAAUAUUUGCCGAAUUCCUUAGCUUUACUUAAUUAACAUUUUACUCCAUAUAUUAAUCGUUUACACAUUAUAAUUCUUAAUAAACUGGAACGUUAUUCAACCAAUACUCAUAUCAACAUUAUAGUUAAUUAAAAUUAUUUAUAAUUAUUUAUUAGCUACAUAAUUACUACCUGAAAUAUAUUUUAAAAUAUAACAAAAUUAAAUCAUUAAGAAAAACAAAACUUUUAACCCUACUUAAAUUAUACACUAAACUACACAUAAAAUUCUACAAACCUAUAUGAAGCUUAUCCCCCAUAUAAUAAACUAGUAUUUAAACAUAAAAUUAUUUAAAAAUACUAUAAUACUUAAAUAUUCUUCACCAAUAAACUAGCUAUGCUAGGAAACGAUAAACAUUUCAUUACCAUUCAGUAAUAAAUAUAUAACUUUACCACGUUAACAUAACAUUACUAAAUAAAUCCUCCUAAUUCGAGAUAAUUCUAUAAAAAAUUUAUAAUAUCAUCGACCCAUUAUACAAAAGGUACAAAAUUUUAUUUUUACUAAAAACAAAAUAUAAUACAUCCUUUACAGUACAACUAAACAAAAUUUUAUCUAUACUACUAAUACCCAAAUAAAAAACAAUUUCUUUUAUCUAUAUAAUACAACGAACAACUCUAUAUAAGUUUUUA
rnacentral:rRNA from 1 species